rnacentral:rRNA from 1 species
GUUGGGUAGGGGAGCGUUCUGUAAGCCUGCGAAGGUGUACUGUGAGGUAUGCUGGAGGUAUCAGAAGUGCGAAUGCUGACAUAAGUAACGAUAAUGCGGGUGAAAAACCCGCACGCCGGAAGACCAAGGGUUCCUGUCCAACGUUAAUCGGGGCAGGGUGAGUCGACCCCUAAGGCGAGGCUGAAAAGCGUAGUCGAUGGGAAACGGGUUAAUAUUCCCGUACUGGUGGUAACUGCGAUGGGGGAACGGAGAAGGCUAGGUUGUCCGGGCGACGGUCGUCCCGGUUCAAGCAGGUAGGCAGAGUGAUUAGGCAAAUCCGGUCACUUAAUGCUGAGAUGUGAUGACGAACCACCAAGGUGGUGAAGCAAUUGAUGCCCCGCUUCCAGGAAAAGCCUCUAAGCUUCAGGUUACCAACAAUCGUACCCCAAACCGACACAGGUGGUCAGGUAGAGAAUACUCAGGCGCUUGAGAGAACUCGGGUGAAGGAACUAGGCAAAAUGGUGCCGUAACUUCGGGAGAAGGCACGCUGGCGGUAGGUAAAGUCCCUCGCGGACGGCGCUGAAGCCAGUCGAAGAUACCAGCUGGCUGCAACUGUUUAUUAAAAACACAGCACUGUGCAAACACGAAAGUGGACGUAUACGGUGUGACGCCUGCCCGGUGCUGGAAGGUUAAUUGAUGGGGUUAGCCGUAAGGCGAAGCUCCUGAUCGAAGCCCCAGUAAACGGCGGCCGUAACUAUAACGGUCCUAAGGUAGCGAAAUUCCUUGUCGGGUAAGUUCCGACCUGCACGAAUGGCGUAAUGAUGGCCAGGCUGUCUCCACCCGAGACUCAGUGAAAUUGAACUCGCUGUGAAGAUGCAGUGUACCCGCGGCAAGACGGAAAGACCCCGUGAACCUUUACUAUAGCUUGACACUGAACAUUGAGCCUUGAUGUGUAGGAUAGGUGGGAGGCUUUGAAGUGUGGACGCCAGUCUGCAUGGAGCCAACCUUGAAAUACCACCCUUUAACGUUUGAUGUUCUAACCUAGGCCCAUAAACUGGGUCGGGGACCGUGUCUGGUGGGUAGUUUGACUGGGGCGGUCUCCUCCUAAAGAGUAACGGAGGAGCACGAAGGUUGGCUAAGCAUGGUCGGACAUCAUGCGGUUAGUGCAAAGGCAUAAGCCAGCUUGACUGCGAGAGUGACGGCUCGAGCAGGUACGAAAGUAGGUCUUAGUGAUCCGGUGGUUCUGAAUGGAAGGGCCAUCGCUCAACGGAUAAAAGGUACUCCGGGGAUAACAGGCUGAUACCGCCCAAGAGUUCAUAUCGACGGCGGUGUUUGGCACCUCGAUGUCGGCUCAUCACAUCCUGGGGCUGAAGUAGGUCCCAAGGGUAUGGCUGUUCGCCAUUUAAAGUGGUACGCGAGCUGGGUUUAGAACGUCGUGAGACAGUUCGGUCCCUAUCUGCCGUGGGCGUUGGAAGAUUGAGAGGGGUUGCUCCUAGUACGAGAGGACCGGAGUGAACGCACCACUGGUGUUCGGGUUGUCAUGCCAAUGGCAUUGCCCGGUAGCUAAGUGCGGAAGAGAUAACCGCUGAAAGCAUCUAAGCGGGAAACUUGCCUCGAGAUGAGUCUUCCCUGUCGCUUUAAGCGACCUAAAGGAACGUUUAAGACUAAGACGUUGAUAGGCUGGGUGUGUAAGCGUAGCGAUACGUUGAGCUAACCAGUACUAAUGAACCGUGAGGCUUAACCUG